CGUAGGGUGCGAGCGUUGUCCGGAUUUAUUGGGCGUAAAGGGCUCGUAGGUGGUUGAUCGCGUCGGAAGUGUAAUCUUGGGGCUUAACCCUGAGCGUGCUUUCGAUACGGGUUGACUUGAGGAAGGUAGGGAGAAUGGAAUUCCUGGUGGAGCGGUGGAAUGCGCAGAUAUCAGGAGGAACACCAGUGGCGAAGGCGGUUCUCUGGGCCUUUCCUGACGCUGAGGAGCGAAAGCGUGGGGAGCGAACAGGCUU
rnacentral:rRNA from 1 species